rnacentral:rRNA from 1 species
CCUACGGGAGGCAGCAGUGGGGAAUAUUGGUCAAUGGUCGGGAGACUGAACCAGCCAAGCCGCGUGAGGGAUGAAGGUACAGAGUAUCGUAAACCUCUUUUGUCAGGGAACAAAGGCGGGGACGCGUCCCCGGAUGAGUGUACCUGAAGAAAAAGCAUCGGCUAACUCCGUGCCAGCAGCCGCGGUAAUACGGGGGAUGCGAGCGUUAGCCGGAUUUAUUGGGUUUAAAGGGUGCGCAGGCGGUCUGUUAAGUCAGCGGUAAAAGCCCGGGGCUCAACCCCGGCCCGCCGUUGAAACUGGCAGUCUCGAGUUGGAGAGAAGUAUGCGGAAUGCGCGGUGUAGCGGUGAAAUGCAUAGAUAUCGCGCAGAACUCCGAUUGCGAAGGCAGCAUGCCGGCUCCACACUGACGCUGAGGCACGAAAGCGUGGGUAUCGAACAGGAUUAGAUACCCGAGUAGUC